rnacentral:rRNA from 1 species
UACGGGGGGGGCAAGCGUUGCUCGGAAUCAUUGGGCGUAAAGCGCGCGUAGGCGGUUACUUAAGUCGAAUGUGAAAGCCCUCGGCUUAACUGAGGAAGUGCAUCCGAAACUGAGUAGCUAGAGUACGAAAGAGGGUCGCGGAAUUCCCGGUGUAGAGGUGAAAUUCGUAGAUAUUCGCAAGAACACCAGUGGCGAAGGCGGCUUUCUGGCCCGUUCUUGACGCUGAGGCGCGAAAGCUAGGGUAGCAAACGGG